UACGUAGGGUGCAAGCGUUGUCCGGAAUUAUUGGGCGUAAAGAGCUCGUAGGCGGUUUGUUGCGUCGGCUGUGAAAUCCCGAGGCUCAACCUCGGGUCUGCAGUCGAUACGAGCAAACUAGAGUGUUGCAGGGGAGACUGGAAUUCCUGGUGUAGCGGUGAAAUGCGCAGAGUAUCAGGAGGAACACCGGGUGGGCGAAAGGCGGGUCUCUGGGCAACAACAUGACGCUGGAGGAGCGAAAGCCGUGGG
rnacentral:rRNA from 1 species